rnacentral:rRNA from 1 species
GACGAACCGUGCGAACGUUGUUCGGAAUCACUGGGCUUAAAGGGCGCGUAGGCGGGCCGCCAGGUCCGGGGUGAAAUCCCCCCGCUCAACGGGGGAAGUGCCCCGGAAACCGGCGGCCUCGGGGUGGGCAGGGGCGGGCGGAACUUCCGGUGGAGCGGUGAAAUGCGUAGAUAUCGGAAGGAACGCCGGUGGCGAAAGCGGCCCGCUGGGCCCCACCCGACGCUGAGGCGCGAAAGCCAGGGGAGCGAACGGG